UCCGGCGUUAGCCGGCAGUCUCGCUAGAAAAGUAUAACUAGCGACAGGGGUUGCGCUCGUUGCGAGACUUAACCCAACACCUCACGGCACGAGCUGACGACGGCCGUGCAACACCUGUGCACGCUCCCCGAGGGGUCCCUCACCUUUCGGAUCGGUACCACGUGCAUGUCAAGCCUGGGUAAGGUUCUUCGCGUAUCAUCGAAUUAAACCACACGCUCCGCUGCUUGUGCGGGCCCCCGUCAAUUCCUUUGAGUUUUAGCCUUGCGGCCGUAGUCCCCAGGCGGAGUACUUAUUGCGUUAGCUUCGGCACAGAGGGGGUCGAUACCCCCUACACCUAGUACUCAUCGUUUAGGGCGUGGACUAC
rnacentral:misc_RNA from 1 species